GUCUCUUCGAAGAUAUUUGAUAAAAUUGGAGCAAUACAGAAAAGAUUAGCAUGGCCCCUGUGCAAGGAUGACAUGCACAAAUAUCGAGAAAUAGUCCAAACUUUU